UCCAUGAUGGUCCAGUGGCCAAGACUCUACAUUCCAAUGCAGGUAGCCUUGGUUUGAUCCCUGGUCAUGGAA
rnacentral:tRNA from 1 species